GGUUAAGCGACUAAGCGUACACGGUGGAUGCCCUGGCAGUCAGAGGCGAUGAAGGACGUGCUAAUCUGCGAAAAGCGUCGGUAAGGUGAUAUGAACCGUUACAGCCGGCGAUGUCCGAAUGGGGAAACCCAGUGCAAUUCGUUGCACUAUCGUUAACUGAAUACAUAGGUUAACGAGGCGAACCGGGGGAACUGAAACAUCUAAGUACCCCGAGGAAAAGAAAUCAACCGAGAUUCCCCCAGUAGCGGCGAGCGAACGGGGAGCAGCCCGGAGUCUGAAUCAGCUUGUGUGUUAGUGGAAGCGUCUGGAAAGUCGCAGGGUACAGGGUGAUACUCCCGUACACUAAAACACACAGGUUGUGAACUCGAAGAGUAGGGCGGGACACGUGGUAUCCUGUCUGAAUAUGGGGGGACCAUCCUCCAAGGCUAAAUACUCCUGACUGACCGAUAGUGAACCAGUACCGUGAGGGAAAGGCGAAAAGAACCCCGGCGAGGGGAGUGAAAAAGAACCUGAAACCGUGUACGUACAAGCAGUAGGAGCCCACUGGUUGGGUGACUGCGUACCUUUUGUAUAAUGGGUCAGCGACUUAUAUUCUGUAGCAAGGUUAACCGUAUAGGGGAGCCGCAGGGAAACCGAGUCUUAACUGGGCGUUAAGUUGCAGGGUAUAGACCCGAAACCCGGUGAUCUAGCCAUGGGCAGGUUGAAGGUUGGGUAACACUAACUGGAGGACCGAACCGACUAAUGUUGAAAAAUUAGCGGAUGACUUGUGGCUGGGGGUGAAAGGCCAAUCAAACCGGGAGAUAGCUGGUUCUCCCCGAAAGCUAUUUAGGUAGCGCCUCGUGAACUCAUCUUCGGGGGUAGAGCACUGUUUCGGCUAGGGGGUCAUCCCGACUUACCAACCCGAUGCAAACUACGAAUACCGAAGAAUGUUAUCACGGGAGACACACGGCGGGUGCUAACGUCCGUCGUGAAGAGGGAAACAACCCAGACCGCCAGCUAAGGUCCCAAAGUCAUGGUUAAGUGGGAAACGAUGUGGGAAGGCCCAGACAGCCAGGAUGUUGGCUUAGAAGCAGCCAUCAUUUAAAGAAAGCGUAAUAGCUCACUGGUCGAGUCGGCCUGCGCGGAAGAUGUAACGGGGCUAAACCAUGCACCGAAGCUGCGGCAGCGACACUAUGUGUUGUUGGGUAGGGGAGCGUUCUGUAAGCCGUUGAAGGUGGCCUGUGAGGGUUGCUGGAGGUAUCAGAAGUGCGAAUGCUGACAUAAGUAACGAUAAUGCGGGUGAAAAACCCGCACGCCGGAAGACCAAGGGUUCCUGUCCAACGUUAAUCGGGGCAGGGUGAGUCGACCCCUAAGGCGAGGCCGAAAGGCGUAGUCGAUGGGAAACAGGUUAAUAUUCCUGUACUCGGUGUUACUGCGAAGGGGGGACGGAGAAGGCUAUGUUGGCCGGGCGACGGUUGUCCCGGUUUAAGCAUGUAGGCGGAUGUUCCAGGUAAAUCCGGAGCGUCACUAACGCUGAGGUGUGAUGACGAGGCACUACGGUGCUGAAGUGACAAAUGCCCUGCUUCCAGGAAAAGCCUCUAAGCAUCAGGUAACAUCAAAUCGUACCCCAAACCGACACAGGUGGUCAGGUAGAGAAUACCAAGGCGCUUGAGAGAACUCGGGUGAAGGAACUAGGCAAAAUGGUGCCGUAACUUCGGGAGAAGGCACGCUGAUGGUA
rnacentral:rRNA from 1 species